rnacentral:rRNA from 1 species
AGCGAACGCUGGCGGCAGGCUUAACACAUGCCAGUCGAGCGGGCACUUCGGUGUCAGCGGCAGACGGGUGAGUAACACGUGGGAACGUACCCUUCGGUUCGGAAUAACGCUGGGAAACUAGCGCUAAUACCGGAUACGCCCUUUUGGGGAAAGGUUUACUGCCGAAGGAUCGGCCCGCGUCUGAUUAGCUAGUUGGUGGGGUAAUGGCCUACCAAGGCGACGAUCAGUAGCUGGUCUGAGAGGAUGAUCAGCCACACUGGGACUGAGACACGGCCCAGACUCCUACGGGAGGCAGCAGUAGGGAAUAUUGGACAAUGGGCGCAAGCCUGAUCCAGCCAUGCCGCGUGAGUGAUGAAGGCCUUAGGGUUGAAAAGCUCUUUUGUCCGGGACGAUAAUGACGGUACCGGAAGAAUAAGCCCCGGCUAACUUCGUG